AUAUGUGAAACACUAAGUAUACCUGUAGAAUAGCCCCAGGAUGUAACGUGACCAGUCCUCCGUAAUACACACCUACACACUUAAUAUUUUCACACGUGAGAGCUCAUAGCAGACGCCAGUAACCAAAAAAGUCCUUGUAUAAGGCAGCUAAGACUAACAGAACUUAUUGGAUGAUGUUAUACUCUGAUAUAGAAACAGUAAAGCACACUAUGUUCAACACAAGUGACGUAAAGUUAAGACUCGUUGACUUGGUAUGGAUGGAAGAGAAAAAUCACCAAAUAUCGCCAGCUACCCUCUCAAAAUUAUAUAGUACUCAAGGACCCAAAACGAAACUGCCACUUUUUAACAGACACGCCACCAAUUAAGGAAUUUAAAUGCAUGUGCCCUUAACAUGUACAACCUCAAACAGAAGGACGCCUGUCACUCAGGGACCCAAUUACGAAACUUUCACUUUUUAACAGACACUCGUGAAUUUAAAUGCAUGUGCCCUUAACAUGUACAACCUCCAACAGAAGGACGCCUGUCACUCAGGGACCCAAUUACGAAACUUUCACUUUUUAACAGACACUCGUGAAAUUCUAUGCAUGUGCCCUUAACAUGUAAGCUUAAACAGAAGGAGGACGUCUGUUAAUCCUGAGGAUGAGCUAUUCCAGGUAUCCACAUAACUGGGGCUGCGCGAUAGAGGAUGAGGAUUUGCAUCACACUCUAAAAUAAAUAUUGAACUUUGCAUCGAAUUAAAUUAUCAUACCUGCAAACUGCUGAAGAAGACAGCAACGCAUUGGAGUACACGUAUUAUAAAAUGUUUUAUUUAUCCAGAAACUUUAGCACAUAACGAUUAUGUACCGACACACACAAUUGUAAAUCACACAUCGAAUUAUAUGCAUGUACAGAAGAAUCGUAAAAACAAUGUAA